ensembl:lncRNA
GUCACUGACUCGGCUGCGAUAAUGUUUCCUGGUGUUUGGAAACCUCUCUUUUUAAGAGUCUCUUCCCAGGACAGGAUUCCCUUCCCAGGACCGGAGCUCCCUCCCUACCUCCUUUGUCUCUUUUUUCAUCUUUUAUAUUUUUUCCUACCUGUUUUUGAAGCCAAUGAUCUGCUUUGCUGGGUGCCUGAUGUCCUCUGCCAGCAUUCAGAAGUUGUUUUGUGGAAUUUACUCAGCGUUGAAAUGUUCUUUUGAUGAAUUUUUGAGGGAGAAAGUGGUCUCCCUGUCCUAUUCCUCCUCCAUCUUAGGACCACCCCCAGAUAUUAGUUUAGGCUUAGGGAAACUUCAUAAUCAGAUACAGACCUUGGAACACUCUCGACUGGAUUUUACUGCCCCUGGAGCAGCUAAUGACUUUCUCCAUACUUUUUCUAACUUUAUUUCUGGAAAAGAACAUUCCUUCUACUAUUUUCACUUAUACUGCUGUUGGUGCCUUAAUUCUGCUUCUUAUAAUCAUUCUCCCUUGUAUUGUCAGGAUCCUUCAGCACAGCACUCAGAAACUCACGACUGAACUACAUCUGGCUGUUUUAAGAAAUAGAAAAGGGGGAGAUGCUGGGAGCCAGCAUGAGGAGUCCCACCCAUGGCAAAGGUCAUGAGGUUAAGGGGCCCAACAGGCAAAGGUGAGUCGGGCCUUAAGGGAGCCUCGCUGGAUCUGCUCAUGCAUCUGCCCCAAAACCAGAGUCUGCCUGCCUUAUGGCAUUGUGCUUUUUGCCUAAUCUUCUGACAUUAUACAGGGGGCUAUCCCCCACUACCUCUCUCUGAAAAGGAGUUAACUUAGGACUCCAGUUAAUAAAUCUCCUGGGUGUGACAAGGGUGUUUCAGUCCAAAAACCUCUCUGCUGGCAGACUAGCUUGUGUGACAGGAUUAUCCACAUUCUAGGUAGAUGAUUGUUUACAACCUCUCAACCAUAAAUAGCACAGAGAGUUUGGAGUAUUUUGAAAGUCUUAAUUAGCAUAGAGCUUUUCUCAUUUUGAGUCAAUGACUGCCAUCAGGCCUCCAUACCCCUAAGCACCUGGGAGUAUGUUUUAAGUUAAUGAAUUUUCUCUUUGUUAUAAAUCACUUUACUCCUCCUUUUUUUGUUAUAAACCGUGUAUCCUUGCAAUGUAAGAAUGUAAUGUUAUCACUAUCUUAAGACAAAGUGGAUCUUAAGGGAAAAAUAAGUUUUCUGAUUGACUAACCUUUAUCAAUAGAAAGUAAUAAUAAAAUGUUAGUCGGUCUAGAUAUUGUAAACAAACGUAAGACCCUUGUAAGAAUAAAGAUAUGCAAAGAACACUGUCUUUAGAUAAGGGUCAGAGCAGCUGUUUACAUUUAUCUUUAUGUAUAACUAAAGGUAUAAAAGUGAAUCUGGAAAAUAAACGGAUCAGUUCCUGGAAAGACUGGUCUCCUCAUGUUGUUCUUUCUCUCCCCUUCUGGCUGAAUUCCCAUCUGGAGCGUGGAUGCCUGCCAGGCCUACUAAUUUUGUGGGGGCUUCUAAGAUCUGACCGGGGAGGCCUUUGUGUCUCCUCUCCUUCGGGAGAACAGGAAGACGCCUGUGGCCUAGGGAAGGAAUAUGGCUGAAAUUACGGGUCCCAGCUGCUCUGAGAUCCCCGCUCUGCUGAGAUGUGUGGACCUGACCUGCCAGCACAGUGAGUGAGAUGCUGUGUUGAUUGUUCUUGCAUUCUUCCAUGACCACCUGGGAGACACCAGUCUGUUCAUCAGUUUCAACGUGGACACAAAACUGGAGGACCAAGUUGAGGGCCAAAUCAACAAUCUCACCCAACACAGGCCUGCAGGGAUAUAGAUUCACAGUUAACAGAGAUGGAGAAGUCUCUUCACAUUGCUCACUUUGGUCUCUCUCUUAUGUAGACAUUAUAUGGGAUCUCUAUGAACAAGGACAGGGAAGCUUGGUGUACUGAAGCCCGUGGGGUCGCAAAGAGUCAGACAGGACUUAGUGACUGAACAACACAUGGACAAUGUGUAUUUUUUGUGGAAUCUAUAUUCUUGCAUUAGGAGUUUCUUCUCCU